rnacentral:lncRNA from 10 species
ACUCUAUCAAUUUCCUGGAGUUCUCAGCACCAGCCAUGGUGUCUCUCUUCUCAGUGUCUUAUUUCAGCCUGCAUCUGUGUUUACAGGAUUACCCUCACCCUCCUCAACUCUCUAACUCCUGCUUGCUUCAUUUACCACUUCCUCGAGGAAACCUUCUGUCACCUUUCCAGGAGCUGAGAUCUGCCGCUGCUGAGGACUGGGCACUGAAGUUCAGCCACAGUCCAACACGUGAGGUGACUCCUAGGUCAGAAGGAAGCAGAAGGGAUGAGGCUGCAGGUCCCAAGGAUCUCCCCGUGAGGUGACAAUCUGGGUGAUAUAACAAGCAAUGCCUUUGAAGUAUUGGAUGAAGUUACUGGGAAACGGAGAGAAGCGGUAACUUGCCCAGUGCCAAGCAGCUACAAGUUCUGGGACAGAGCUUCAAAUACAAGAGAAUUUUCUGUCUUGGUCACUAUUCUUUCCACAUUGCCUCUUAAACAGCCUGCAUAAACACUUCUUUAAACAAUUUUAGUGUGACACAGAUGCUUACAGUGCAAAAUUAAAAUAAACUUAACAGAUAAAUUAGAAUUGGACAUUUGUCUGAUAGCAACAUGAUAGCUAUAAGAUCAAUAACUUUCCGUCACAGAAAUAAUAUAGAAUUUAAACUUUACUUGCAUAUAAUCUAGAUAGAAAAAUUUGCAUAUAAGAAAAAGAGUGUGAGACACAUCAGGAAAUGUAUCAAGAUACUGUUGAACUGGCUCAUUUAAAACCUGAAUACCCAGGGGACAUCACCAAUAUUGUCCUCAGAUAAUGAUGUAGAAAUGCAUUUCCUUGAAUAUAUGCUUAUCUUUAUUUUCAUCAGUAGGAUCCAUGAGAAAUAAUGAAAAGGAAUCUUUUGUUAAAAGAUAAGUACAGGUGUCUUCGAAGUAGUUCAACAUGCCAUGGGCAAACCUUUACUGAGUACUUAAAUAAAGCAGAGAUUAUGCCAUGGAAAGCAUGAGAACUGAAAAGAAUAUGGCUGUCUUAGUUUUCUACUGCUGCGUAACAUAUUACCAUAUUUAGCAGCUUAGAACUGCACCCAUUUAUUAGCUCACAAUUCUACAGAUGAGAAGUCCAGAAGUCCUGGACCCUCUGCUUUAGGGUCUCACAUAGCCACACUCAGGGGUUGGGCUAGCCUGAGUUCUUACCUGGGAAUCUGGAGAAGAGUCAGUCAAUUCAGUUGCCGGCAGAAUUCAGUCAUGUGCAGCUGUAGGAUUGAGGUCCCUGUUUCUUUGCUGGCUAUUGACCAGGAGCUGUUGUCAGCUUCUGGAGGCCACCUAUAUUCCCAGGCUUGUGGGCCUUCCAUUUUCAAAGCCAGCAAUGCCACGUCAAAUCCUUCCUAUGCUUUGAAUCUUCCUGACUUCCCAUCAUGCCGCUGUCAUCACCUUUUAAAGGAUGUGUGUGCUUAAGUGAGGCACAUGCCAGUUAAUCAUGGUAUUUUAAGGCAACCUGAUUUGGGACUUUAAUUACAACAACAGAACCUCUGCAGUGCGUAGAUGACUGUUUGAGUUACCAGAAGAUAGGAAUAUUAGGGAGUCAUCUUUGGAAUUCUGACCCACAUCAUCAAUGGCUACACCAUCAAGAGGCACAUUUUGUUCAUCUUAUGAUUCCUUGUCAGUGGACACACUUUUCCUAAUGUCAAGGUGACUAUUGACGUGGAUAAUGAACUUGGAGAUUAAGCCAGAAUAUAGUAAUAACCACCAUGAAUUAAGUACAUGGAAUAUGCUUGGUGUCUCAAACACACUUUCUCCUUUGAUCCUCACACAACACUUCAAGUAUAAAGCUGAGCUUCAUAGACUUUCUGCAACUUGCUAACAUCAGACAGCCAGUAAAUGAGGGAGCCAAACUUCAAGAAAAGAACUGUAUGAACACAGUGUCUGUGCUUUUUGCAGCACAGCAUGAAGGAAAAAGGAUCUGAGAGUCUUGUCCUUGAGAAGAAAGUUACACUUCAAGCAGAAAGAUUAAAUAAAAUUUGUUAUGCAACAUCAAUAUGAUUAAUGAUUCAUUACAGAUAGUAUAAAAUGUUUUAUAUGUAUGUACCUGUUAUUCCAUGUUCAUUUUUAUCACACUAAUUAAGAAAGUUUUAUAUAUAAUGUGUAUAUGUGUAUGUUUUAUAUAUAAAGUAUAUAAUGGA